GAUGAACGCUGGCGGCGUGCCUAAUACCUGCAAGUCGAGCGAAUGGAUUAAGAGCUUGCUCUUAUGAAGUUAGCGGCGGACGGGUGAGUAACACGUGGGUAACCUGCCCAUAAGACUGGGAUAACUCCGGGAAACCGGGGCUAAUACCGGAUAAUAUUUUGAACCGCAUGGUUCAAAAUUGAAAGGCGGCUUCGGCUGUCACUUAUGGAUGGACCCGCGUCGCAUUAGCUAGUUGGUGAGGUAACGGCUCACCAAGGCAACGAUGCGUAGCCUACCUGGGAGGGUGAUCGACCACACUGGGACUGAGAACCGGCCCAGACUCCUACGGGAGGCAGCAGUAGGGAAUCUUCCGCAAUGGACGAAAGUCUGACGGAGCAACGCCGCGUGAGUGAUGAAGGCUUUCGGGUCGUAAAACUCUGUUGUUAGGGAAGAACAAGUGCUAGUUGAAUAAGCUGGCACCUUGACGGUACCUAACCAGAAAGCCACGGCUAACUACGUGCCAGCAGCCGCAGUAA
rnacentral:rRNA from 1 species